GGGACCAGCCAGGGGCAUCUGGCAGGGUGCGGGCAGGGGCGAGGGGCGAGCGCCCGGACCGAGCCGGACUCUGCGCAGACCCCUAUCUCCCUGCGGGGACCCCUGCGGGCACAGGUGUCUCCGGCCUGAGUCCCCCGCUCGCUUUGGGGGUCUCUCUCCGGGGGUCUCCGCCGGGGAGGGGGUGUCGCGGUGGCAAACGUGCCGGGAGCGGCGGCCCUGCGCCCAGGAUGGCGUUGCAGCCCCGCGUGCGCGCCUGGUGACAUUCAUUCGCUUGGCCCGGGGCCGGCCGCACUGUGCUGACAUUUGACCCCGGAGGACGUGUCCCCGCACGUGUCCCCGCCUGCAGAGCCGUCGACGUCCGGGUCACUGACCGCUGUCCAGCUGGCCCCCCUGCCGCGCAGCCGCAGAGUCGCCCCCUGGACACCUGGCACGUGGCUGACCUCGGUGAAUUCCCCCUGGUACCUAAAGAUGUGUGUCCAAGGAUGUUCUGACUUACAGCAUCACCUAUAACUGCAAAAAAAACCUGAAAGCAACCAGAAGAGACCUGGUUAAAUAAACUCCAGAAAGUUCAUUUAAUAAUAUUUUUAAUUUAAAACAUUUUUUAAACUUUCAAUGUGAUUCUAUAUGCUGAUGUGAUAUGAUCUCCAAAAUCUAUUAAUUGUAAAAAGAGAAAACCCAGAGCCAUGUGUAUACAAUGAUCCCUAGUCUGUAUUUAAAAAAUAUAUAUACAUAAAAAAUUUUUUUUUGUGUAUAUAUGUAUAUGUUGUCAUUGUUAGGUGCUAUCGAGUCGAUUGAGUCAUAAUGACCCUCUGUAUAACAGAACGGAACACUGCCUGGUCUUAGCCCAUCCUCACAAUCAUUGCUACGCUUGAGCCCAUUAUUGCAGCCACUGUGUCAAUCCAUCUUGUUGAAGGUCUUCCUUUUUUUCUGCUGUACAUGUAUAUAUGCAUAUACAUACCCAGAAAUUUUCUGGAAGGAUGAGUCUAAUGGCCAGGCAGGAGUAAGAACACUUACGUCUUAUUGUAUGCAGUUUGGUACUGUUUAAAUUUAUCAUAUGCAUACAUUUCAUAAUUAAGCUUUAAAAACAAAAAUGCAUCUCAUUUAGCCAUCCAGUGAUCCCUCAUAAGUUACUUUGAGCUUUUAGAUAAGCACAAAAGACUGUCUUGAUGUAAGCUUCAUCAAUAGAAAUUAAUCUUUAUUGAUUUACAAUCUGUAAUCUUUCAGACCUGAGCUGGGCAGGAACUGACCUCUGGAGACCUCGGCUGAAGAUAAACUGACACAAUAGCAACAACAAUGGACAAACAUACUAAGAUCAUGAAGACGGCGCAGAAGCGAGCAACAUUUCAUUCUGUUAUCCAUUGGGUCACCAUGAAUCAGAGCUGACUCGAAGGCAACUGUCAUGGAUUGAAUUAUAUCCCCCCAAAAAUGUGUGUAUCAAUUUGGCUGGGCCAUGAAUCCCAGUUUUGUUUGAUUGUCCUCCAUUUUGUGAUUGUAAUUUUAUGUUGAAGAGGGCUAGGGGUGGGAUUGUAACACCCUUAUUAAGGUCACAUCCCCGAUCCAAUGUAAAGGGAGUUUCCCUGGAAUGUGGUCUGCACCACCUUUUAUCUUACAAGACGUAGAAGGAAAGGGAAGCAAGCAGAGAAGGGGGACAUCAUACCACCAAGAAAGCAGUGCUGGAAGCAGAGCGCGUCCUUUGGACCUGAGUUUCCUGUGCUGACAUGCUCCCAGACCAAGGGAAGACUGAUGACGAGGACCUUCCUCCAGAGCUGACAGACAGAGAAAGGCUUCCUCUGGAGCCAGCACCCUGAAUUUAGUCUUCUAGCCUACUGGACUGUGAGAAAAUAAACUUAACUUUGUUAAAGCCAUCCACUUGUGGUAUUUGUGUUAUAGAAGGAGUAGAUAACCAAGACAGCAACUAACAACCAGAACAGUAUCUCACCCACAGGCCACCUCCUGGAGGCUUUUCCGACACACCCCUUACCUCUCACCACAUCUCACUGUCCUGACUCCUAUCACGCUCUGAAGCAACCUAUGGGCUGUUUUCUGUUUAUCAUCCCUCUACCCUGCAAACCCACCAUGGGCCCAAGAACAGGCGCUACAGGGGACCAGCACCCUCGGACCACACACCGAGCAGCACUGGCUCCUGGAGGGCUCCUUCAUCGUCUGUGCACAUCCUUCACGCACAGACCCACGUUUACCGUUGGAGGCACUGCAGCCUAAUGAAUUUGCAGGGACCUCCGGAAACCCUGGUGGUACAGUGGUUAAGUGCUACGGCUGCUAACCAAAAGGUCAGCAGUUCAAAUCCACCAAGUGCUCCUUAGAAACUGUAUGGGGCAGUUCUACUCUGUCCUAUAGGGUGAGUUGGAAUUGACUUAAUGGCAACAGAGGUAGGAGCUGAGAUCUGGGGAACAGGUGUUUAUUUUGUUUAUGCGUAUGCUCCUUUGUUUUUUGCAAUAAACAUGUACUAUUUAUGUAACAAUGGAAGUCACUUGAAAGUAAUGUAUGUUUGUAUAAAUACAAAGAUGCCAGGGAGAGAGGAGACACAAUUCUAGCUGCCCGUCCGUGAAAACAGCAGUGGGCUCCCACAUGAUGAAGAGAUAGACAUGCUAGUUGGUCAGGUCAAUUAGAGGCUCCACUCAUUACUCUUUUCCCCUCCCCAUUCAGUGCAGCUGGGACCCACUGGUUUCCUGCCACCUCCAGGGAACCGAAUCUACGGAAGGGAAUUUGGAACCUGGUAGAGAGAGAUGACAAGGACACAAAUAACUAUAACUUAAGUACAAGGGCGUCCCCUGAGCACUGUCCAUGGACUUCCCUGGGAGUGAGGGGUCUGCAACAGAAAGCUUCCACCCAUCACCAACCAGACAAAUCAGAAUGAAGGCCAAGAAGCACAGUAAUGACAACAACAAUGACAAGGGCCAACCUUUGCUGAGGGCUCUCCAUGGACCAGGCCGUGUGCUAAAUGCUUUCCACUCAAUGUUCACAACAACACUACAAGGAAAAAAGGGAGAAGCAAGCAAAGGAGACAUAGGAGCCAAGCAAGAAGAGCCAGGAGCGUGCAUCCUUUGGACCCAGGGUCCCUGCACUGAGAAGCUCCUAGACCAGGGGAAGACUGAUGACAAGGAUUUUCCCCCAGAGCUGACAGAGAGAAAGACUUCCCCUGGAGCUGGCACCCUGAAUUUGGACGUCUAGCCUCCUAAACUGUGAGACAAUAAAUUUCUCUUUGUUGAAGCCAUCUGCUUGAGGUAUUUGUUUUAGCAGCACCAGAUAAAUAAGACACCCUCUAACUGUGAAUACGUCUGUGAGUUCUGAGCUGCCCGUUGCAACAAAUUUAUCAAACGCAGCAGACAAGUAGAGAGU